rnacentral:rRNA from 1 species
GGCGGCGAGAGCGCGGUGGUCCCACCUGACCCCAUGCCGAACUCAGAAGUGAAACGCCGUAGCGCCGAUGGUAGUGUGGGGUCUCCCCAUGCGAGAGUAGGGAACUGCCAGGC